rnacentral:misc_RNA from 1 species
AGUUUGGCAAGCAUCGCCGAAGAGCAAGCAUUGGCAAUGUUAACAAGUGCUCAGUAAGAGCAACUACCUAGUUAGCUAACUCUCCAUCUCCAUCUCUGCUUGGACAAAUUCAGCACGAUAAUAUUAUUGGAGCCACCUGUGCAUGAAAUUCUGAACUUUAUUCUGUAUGUGAAGUGGAUCUUCCAUAAAUGACUUUUCUGCAAAUACCACAUCUUCUGGGUCAAUGGCUGAUGUUCCCUGUUUGACGUCUUCAUUCCUUUAUUAGCCAAGCUAAAGGGCAAGAUGAGGGCAGUAUUCCUAGGUGUACUAAUUUGGAGCUGUGUUCUUUGUUUGGAUUUCAAUUACCAUGACAACGAAAGUCUGGAGAAUUUUCUUCGCAACAUGUCUCAGCUCUACCCAAACUUGACCAAAUUGUACAGUAUUGGGAAAACAGUUGAAAAUAAAGACCUAUGGGUGCUUGCGAUUGGACGAAAUCCAGAUACUCACCAGCCAUUACGCCCUCAUGUCAAAUACAUCGGCAACAUGCAUGGGAAUGAGGUUGUGAGUCGAGAGGUUCUCCUCCAUCUGAUUGACCACUAUGUGACAUCUUACGGCAACAAUGAUACAAUCACGUAUUUCCUGAAUAAUACUGUAGUUCAUAUAAUGCCCUCCAUGAACCCAGAUGGCUUUAACAAUUCAGAUAUAGGUGACUGUUUUGGAGUGAAAGGACGGGGUAACAAGAAUGGGUAUGAUUUGAACCGUAAUUUCCCAGACUACUUUGCUGUAAACACUGCACCCACUCAGCCGGAGACUUCGGCUGUGAUGAACUGGACUCUACAGAUCCCGUUUGUACUCUCGGCUAAUCUACAUGGUGGAACAUUGGUGGUUAACUAUCCUUUUGACAAUUAUCCAAAUGCCAAUGGUAUCACAAAGUAUGUGACUAGCCCAGAUGAUGAUGUGUUUGUAUCCCUGUCCAAAACUUACUCAUACAAACACAACAACAUGUUCUACGGCAAUCAUUGCGGAGAUGUAUUCCCAGAUGGAAUUACAAAUGGGGCUCUUUGGUAUCCUGUCACAGGUGGUAUGCAGGAUUGGAAUUAUAUACAGGCGGGGUGCAUGGAGGUGACCCUGGAGAUCAGCUGCUGCAAAUACCCAGCCCCACAGACCCUCCCAGGGUUCUGGAAUGACAACAAACAGGCACUGGUGGAUUUCCUCAUGAGGGUUCACUCUGGAGUGAAAGGCAUAAUCUAUGAUCAAGACGGAAAAGUUGUUCCAUCGGCAACUUUAAAAAUAAAAGGCCGCGAACUGGUGUCUUUCCGUUCUUCCAAGUACGGGGAAUACUGGAGGAUACUUUUACCUGGAACAUACACCCUACAGGUAUUCAAUGGAAUAAAUGUAACUGAGAGAAGUUUUGAUGUGCACAACGGACAGGCAACCAGAUUAGACAUCCGAUCUUGGACCGCAGCUUCUGACAGCACAGCUAUGCAUCAAGGGGGACUACUCUUGGGAUAUAUUCCUAUUUUGCCAGUACUCCUCAUUACGUGUUAUCAGAUGAAGUUAUUUUUCUUUAACUAAGUAUUGGUUUUUUUAUCAUUAGGACCAUGCAUUAAUUUGGGUAUUUUUGCCCAGUGCAAAUGUGGUUAAUGUUAGUAAAUGCUGAAUUUGUGAUCUGUAUACAUGAACAUGUAUAUGUGUGUAACCAGGAACAAUUUAUAAUGUGCAUGCAUGUAUGAAACAGAGUCAAAAUGUAUGCAAUUUAGUAUUCAUUUUUGGUAGGACAUAUUCAGAAAUUAUGGUCAUGAAACUUUUCAGUAGCAGGAAAUCCUACAUGUACUGUAAUUUUAUUUCUCUGGGCAUUUAGGGCUGCCUCUUCCAACAUUACUGUAUACAGGGUUAUUUUUGCCCUGUGUAAUUUUUAUCCUUUACACUUUCCAAUGGUUUUGCCCUAUUCACCCAGACAUAGUUGUGUUUAAAGAGAGAUUAUUUGAGGCAUUGAAAUUAGUCCAGUCUUAAUUUGCCUGCUGAUAAUGACGGAAAAAGGGGCAAAAAGAAAACUGAGUUGAAUAUCUCCCUGUAUACAGUAUAUCAUUUCUUGAUAAAAAGUCAGUGGAAAUUUGUUUCUUACCCUGUUGGGAGACAGCUCAAAUGCUUUGAACAUUUAGAGGUUGAUUAUGUUACUGCAGAUUUUGUGUAAAAAUACAACUUGUGCAAAGGUGACACAAAAAUCAUGCACUUACAUAUUGUGCUCUGUUAGUGAAGAAACUACAUUUUCCUUUAUUUUUUUUUUUAAAUUAAGUCUUCCAACUUAAAAUUGUUAUACUGUACAGCUUUUUAUAUGUUAUUUGAUUGUAGGACCGUAUUGAUAAAUUUUCUCUUCUUGAUUGUUAAUUUAUCUGAGAAUGUAUUUAUUUGAAUCAGGGAAAUAGUUGAUUUCAGGUGAUUAGAUUAUGCAGCAUGCUUCUCCUGUGAUAAAGCUAAUUUAUUUUCCUUCCAUUGUAUCUAAACAAUCCAGUACAUGUAUUUAUAUUCUUAGCAUGUCAAUGUUAAUAUGUUAUGAAAUCAAAUCAUAAUAUGGUGCAUAAAACUUUGAAAACC